GGUGAUCUAGCCAUGGGCAGGUUGAAGGUUGGGUAACACUAACUGGAGGACCGAACCGACUAAUGUUGAAAAAUUAGCGGAUGACUUGUGGCUGGGGGUGAAAGGCCAAUCAAACCGGGAGAUAGCUGGUUCUCCCCGAAAGCUAUUUAGGUAGCGCCUCGUGAAUUCAUCUCCGGGGGUAGAGCACUGUUUCGGCAAGGGGGUCAUCCCGACUUACCAACCCGAUGCAAACUGCGAAUACCGGAGAAUGUUAUCACGGGAGACACACGGCGGGUGCUAACGUCCGUCGUGAAGAGGGAAACAACCCAGACCGCCAGCUAAGGUCCCAAAGUCAUGGUUAAGUGGGAAACGAUGUGGGAAGGCCCAGACAGCCAGGAUGUUGGCUUAGAAGCAGCCAUCAUUUAAAGAAAGCGUAAUAGCUCACUGGUCGAGUCGGCCUGCGCGGAAGAUGUAACGGGGCUAAACCAUGCACCGAAGCUGCGGCAGCGACACUAUGUGUUGUUGGGUAGGGGAGCGUUCUGUAAGCCUGUGAAGGUGGCCUGUGAGGGUUGCUGGAGGUAUCAGAAGUGCGAAUGCUGACAUAAGUAACGAUAAAGCGGGUGAAAAGCCCGCUCGCCGGAAGACCAAGGGUUCCUGUCCAACGUUAAUCGGGGCAGGGUGAGUCGACCCCUAAGGCGAGGCCGAAAGGCGUAGUCGAUGGGAAACAGGUUAAUAUUCCUGUACUUGGUGUUACUGCGAAGGGGGGACGGAGAAGGCUAUGUUGGCCGGGCGACGGUUGUCCCGGUUUAAGCGUGUAGGCUGGUUUUCCAGGCAAAUCCGGAAAACCAAGGCUGAGGCGUGAUGACGAGGCACUACGGUGCUGAAGCGACAAAUGCCCUGCUUCCAGGAAAAGCCUCUAAGCAUCAGGUAACAUCAAAUCGUACCCCAAACCGACACAGGUGGUCAGGUAGAGAAUACCAAGGCGCUUGAGAGAACUCGGGUGAAGGAACUAGGCAAAAUGGUGCCGUAACUUCGGGAGAAGGCACGCUGAUAUGUAGGUGAAGCGACUAGCUCGUGGAGCUGAAAUCAGUCGAAGAUACCAGCUGGCUGCAACUGUUUAUUAAAAACACAGCACUGUGCAAACACGAAAGUGGACGUAUACGGUGUGACGCCUGCCCGGUGCCGGAAGGUUAAUUGAUGGGGUUAGCGGUAACGCGAAGCUCUUGAUCGAAGCCCCGGUAAACGGCGGCCGUAACUAUAACGGUCCUAAGGUAGCGAAAUUCCUUGUCGGGUAAGUUCCGACCUGCACGAAUGGCGUAAUGAUGGCCAGGCUGUCUCCACCCGAGACUCAGUGAAAUUGAACUCGCUGUGAAGAUGCAGUGUACCCGCGGCAAGACGGAAAGACCCCGUGAACCUUUACUAUAGCUUGACACUGAACAUUGAGCCUUGAUGUGUAGGAUAGGUGGGAGGCUUUGAAGUGUGGACGCCAGUCUGCAUGGAGCCGACCUUGAAAUACCACCCUUUAAUGUUUGAUGUUCUAACGUUGGCCCGUAAUCCGGGUUGCGGACAGUGUCUGGUGGGUAGUUUGACUGGGGCGGUCUCCUCCUAAAGAGUAACGGAGGAGCACGAAGGUUGGCUAAUCCUGGUCGGACAUCAGGAGGUUAGUGCAAUGGCAUAAGCCAGCUUGACUGCGAGCGUGACGGCGCGAGCAGGUGCGAAAGCAGGUCAUAGUGAUCCGGUGGUUCUGAAUGGAAGGGCCAUCGCUCAACGGAUAAAAGGUACUCCGGGGAUAACAGGCUGAUACCGCCCAAGAGUUCAUAUCGACGGCGGUGUUUGGCACCUCGAUGUCGGCUCAUCACAUCCUGGGGCUGAAGUAGGUCCCAAGGGUAUGGCUGUUCGCCAUUUAAAGUGGUACGCGAGCUGGGUUUAGAACGUCGUGAGACAGUUCGGUCCCUAUCUGCCGUGGGCGCUGGAGAACUGAGGGGGGCUGCUCCUAGUACGAGAGGACCGGAGUGGACGCAUCACUGGUGUUCGGGUUGUCAUGCCAAUGGCACUGCCCGGUAGCUAAAUGCGGAAGAGAUAAGUGCUGAAAGCAUC
rnacentral:rRNA from 1 species